UGACUCUCAGGCCAUCAGUGCCACCCCAGG
rnacentral:piRNA from 1 species